rnacentral:rRNA from 1 species
UACAGAGGUCUCCAGCGUUGUUCGGAUUCAUUGGGCGUAACGGGUGCGUAGGUGGCGGGGUAAGUCAGGUGUGAAAUCUCGGGGCUCAACCCCGAAACUGCACUUGAUACUGCCUUGCUCGAGUACUGGAGAGGAGAUUGGAAUUUACGGUGUAGCAGUGAAAUGCGUAGAUAUCGUAAGGAAGACCAGUGGCGAAGGCGGGUCUCUGGACAGUUCCUGACGCUGAGGCACGAAGGUCAGGGGAGCAAACGGG